rnacentral:rRNA from 2 species
UUUUAGCAACGCCAGUAAAGAAUCUUCCACAAUGGACGAAAGUCUGAUGGAGCAACGCCGCGUGAGUGAUGAAGGUUUUCGGAUCGUAAAACUCUGUUGUUAAAGAAGAACAAGUGUUAGAGUAACUGUUAACACUUUGACGGUAUUUAACCAGAAAGCCACGGCUAACUACGUGCCAGCAGCCGCGGUAAUACGUAGGUGGCAAGCGUUGUCCGGAUUUAUUGGGCGUAAAGCGAGCGCAGGCGGUUUUGUAAGUCUGCUGUGAAAGCCCUCAGCUCAACUGAGGAAGUGCAGUGGAAACUACAAAACUUGAGUACAGAAGAGGAAAGUGGAACUCCAUGUGUAGCGGUGAAAUGCGUAGAUAUAUGGAAGAACACCAGUGGCGAAGGCGGCUUUCUGGUCUGUUACUGACGCUGAGGCUCGAAAGCAUGGGUAGCGAACAGGAUUAGAUACCCUGGUAGUCCAUGCCGUAAACGAUGAAUACUAGGUGUUGGAGGGUUUCCGCCCUUCAGUGCCGCAGCUAACGCAUUAAGUAUUCCGCCUGGGGAGUACGACCGCAAGGUUGAAACUCAAAGGAAUUGACGGGGGCCCGCACAAGUGGUGGAGCAUGUGGUUUAAUUCGAUGCUACGCGAAGAACCUUACCAGCUCUUGACAUCUUCUGCCAACCCAAGAGAUUGGGCGUUCCCUUCGGGGGGAACUAGGCC